CCUGUCCCAGUUCGGACUGGAGUCUGCAACCCGACUCCACGAAGUUGGAUUCGCUAGUAAUCGCGCAUCAGCCAUGGCGCGGUGAAUACGUUCCCGGGCCUUGUACACACCGCCCGUCAAGCCAUGGGAGCCGGGGCGCCUGAAGUCCGGGACCGCGAGGACCGGCCUAGGGCGAAACUGGUAACUGGGCUAAGUCGUAACAAGGUACC
rnacentral:rRNA from 1 species